rnacentral:rRNA from 1 species
AUUGAACGCUGGCGGUAGGCCUAACACAUGCAAGUCGAACGCGAAAGUCCUUCGGAUGAGUAGAGUGGCGGACGGGUGAGUAACGCGUAGGAAUCUAUCCUGUAGUGGGGGAGUAACGUUUCGAAAGGAACGCUAAUACCGCAUACGCCCCAAGGGGGAAAGCGGGGGAUCUUCGGACCUCGUGCUAUAGGAGGAGCCUGCGUCGGAUUAGCUAGUUGGUGAGGUAAAGGCUCACCAAGGCGACGAUCCGUAGCUGGUCUGAGAGGAUGAUCAGCCACACCGGAACUGAGACACGGUCCGGACUCCUACGGGAGGCAGCAGUGGGGAAGUAUUGCGCAAUGGGCGAAAGCCUGACGCAGCCAUACCGCGUGUGUGAAGAAGGCCUUCGGUUGUAAGACGACUUCUACGUGGGUAGGGAAAGGACGUAGGUGG